CCUACGGGGGGCUGCAGUAGGGAAUCUUCGGCAAUGGGGGCAACCCUGACCGAGUAACGCCGCGUGAGUGAAGAAGGUUUUCGGAUCGUAAAGCUCUGUUGUAAGAGAAGAACGUGUGUGAGAGUGGAAAGUUCACACAGUGACGGUAACUUACCAGAAAGGGACGGCUAACUACGUGCCAGCAGCCGCGGUAAUACGUAGGUCCCGAGCGUUGUCCGGAUUUAUUGGGCGUAAAGCGAGCGCAGGCGGUUUAAUAAGUCUAAAGUUAAAGGCAGUGGCUUAACCAUUGUUCGCUUUGGAAACUGUUAAACUUGAGUGCAGAAGGGGAGAGUGGAAUUCCAUGUGUAGCGGUGAAAUGCGUAGAUAUAUGGAGGAACACCGGUGGCGAAAGCGGCUCUCUGGUCUGUAACUGACGCUGAGGCUCGAAAGCGUGGGGAGCAAACAGGAUUAGAUACCCGUGUAGUC
rnacentral:rRNA from 1 species